AUUAAGUUCGCUUUCUUCUAAGCCCGAAAGUAUUCUUGAAACAACUGAGAAGAAUCUCUACACAAGAAUGGAAGGAAGAAAAACGGGUGUAUUCUUCACUGUUUAUGUCAUGGUUCUGAUCAUGAGUUUUGGAGAAAAUGGAGCUAUGGCUGCAACUGAAAUUGUUGGUGCUCCUGCACCUGCACCUGGAAUGGAGAGUUCAGGAAUGGCACUGUAUGUUCCAGCUGCAAUGGCUGCCAUUAUUUCUUUGGCUACUAUGUUAUUCUGAACUUAAUUUCUGAUGUUCCUUGCUUAUUUCGUAACUAAGUGACGAGAGAGAUGUUUGGUAUGCUACAUCGGACAGUACUAGGUUAAAUAUCUAUCCAGUGUCAUGUAUAGUACUAUUCAAUAUUGCAUACGAAACAUCUCCUCUUGAAUAAUCAAUUAAUGUUGUUGUCCACUCGAAAUUUGGUUUGAUUUCAGUUGGAAUUAGUGUAUGUGAUAAUAUUGAACUUCGUCUACGAAGUUUAGUUGUGAUAUUAAACAGAAAAUUAAGUCCAUUCUAUGCAAGAAAUAAGAGAGGAAAUUUAAAAACAUGGAACAAACAAGA
rnacentral:lncRNA from 1 species